GUUUGAAUAAGGUGAGUUUGACUUUUUUUAUUUGAAGUCUCUUUUGACAUAACACAAAACCUAGCUUCGUGUUUUUCAUUCCCACAAACAUUACCUCUGUCUAAAACUCUCUUAGCAACCAGAAACUCGAAGCUCACAGCAUCUGGAGGAAAACUUAGCCAUCUGGCAAUCCCGACAGUCAGUUCGCUCUCUCCGGCUCCAAGGACUGUGAGCUUCGUCUCUAGAAGAUGGAAGCCUUCACGGAAUCUUAGGUUUCUUCUUCAAUCCAAGAAAACCCAGAGGAAGAGAAAUUACGCAGUCCCGCGGCUCUUCUGGUAUUACCAAACCCAAAGACGACGAGGCUGCUUGGGAUGGUGACGAGCCCGAUUGCUGGAAGCAUGUGGACGAGGCUGAGGUUUGGUGUCUGAUGCAUUUCAUUUAACUUUUGGGUGUGGCUUGUUGAGAUGUUCGAUGUUCGCAAUGGCGGCUUCUCAAAAGAAGCCUGAUGGAAUCUACGCUUAGGGGUAAGAUUGUUAUGUCUACAACGCUGGCAGAUCUCGAUGGCCUCAUCUCUACAACGCCUCCGCCUCUUCCUCUUCCCGCUCAACCCUCCGUUCAGAUCCAGUCUCCGGAAGGCUACUCUCACCCGAUUUUCACUUCGAAUUCGCCAAGGAUACACCAUGAUUCCAAAUCAAAAGUGCAGAAAAUUAGUGGUCUGAAACAGAAGAUGAAGAUUCAGGAUGUGAAACGUUUUUUACGGUGAAACGUUUUGCGAAGAAAGGCAGAACUGCUCUCACUCACCCUCCUUAUGAAGUGGAACUUGAUGAAACGAAGAAACGGCUGAAGGAGAUGGAGGACGAAUAUUUGGUCUACCAAAAGAAAGAAAUAUAUAUAUAUAUAUAUAUAUGUGUGUGUGUGUGUGUGUGUGUGUGUGUGUGAUUUUCUAACUUUUUUUCAAAAUUGUAGGUGCCUCCAACUCUGGGUUUUGUGCUGGAUGGUGAAAUGUCUUACUAUUUGCCUGCCGAAGACUUGAUUUUGCAACCUAUGCUCAGUUGCAUUUGAACAAAAUGAUUUGUAAUGCGGUUUGUGGUUUCUCUAAUUUUAAUUAAAGAGCUGUAGCAUGCAUGCUAUCUAUCUUGUGUUACUAUGAAUAAGAAUUUUAGCUAUGUGUAUUGUGCAGUGUUAGAAAGACAAAGUUGGACAAAUUUAAUAUUCAUGUACUUAUCUUUGUACUCUAUCACAAGUUCGAUCACAACAGAGCAUGCUAUCUAUCUUGUGAUACCAUCUUGAAGUUCGCCAUUUUGAUCUUGCUGAAAAAAGUUGGGAGGUGGAUCUUGAUUCUGUUGAAGCUCUUGUGGAUAACAACACUGCCGCCAUUGUUGUCAUUAACCAUAGCAAUAUUCCUUGUGAAAAUGUCUUCACAUACCAGCAUAAAAUGUGUGAAUAAUAUGUAACCCCUUUGUGCCUAUGGGAAAGUUCAGUUCAAUUAUACCAGUUCUUACUCUUGGUUCUAUAUCAAAGGCAUGUAUUGUUCCUGGUUAGAGACUUGGCUGGAUUGUGAAAAAUGAUCCUGAGGGCAUCCUUGAAAAAACUGGGAUUGUGGACAGCAUUAAGAACUAUCAUUUUGUCACUUAUGACCCGGCAACCUUUCUUCAGGUUCUUUCUCUGCUAUUUGAACGAUCCCACCACAACCACCACUGAAGCUUUCCCGUUUCUCAAUUUUGAAAAAAGACAUGGCUCCCCGAUCUAACAACACAGCCAAAGCUAAAGUAAUAGCACUAAGGAUGAAGGCACUGCAAAUGAAAAGAGGUACAAAAAACAAUGUCGAAACCAGCUGUUGAAGAGACUAAUGCACCACCUAAAUCUGCCUUCACCAAACAUGAUCAAUAGUAUGAGAUACCAGUGUUUUUUGGGUUCCAUUUGUUGAUCAUGCCAACUACUAUGGGUUAUUGAACUGAUGUUUACUAAGUUUAGCUCGAUUAUGAAUGUAUGUAUAGCUGCAGUAACAGAUUAAUCAAAUAUUGGUAUUUUUGUGAAUGGAUUCCAUAUUUGAUGAAUGCAUUGGGUAGUUUUCAGAUUUACAUAA